rnacentral:tRNA from 1 species
GCCCUUGUCGUCUACGGGUUAGGACCGCACUCUUAUAAGGUGCAGAAGAGGGCUCGACUCCUUCCAAGGGUA